UACGAAGGGGGCUAGCGUUGUUCGGAAUUACUGGGCGUAAAGGGCGCGUAGGCGGUGUGUCAAGUCAGGCGUGAAAGCCCCGGGCUCAACCUGGGAACCGCGCUUGAGACUGGCACGCUAGAGUUCGGGAGAGGUGAGUGGAACUGCGAGUGUAGAGGUGAAAUUCGUAGAUAUUCGCAAGAACACCAGUGGCGAAGGCGGCUCACUGGCCCGAUACUGACGCUGAGGCACGAAAGCGUGGGGAGCAAACAGG
rnacentral:rRNA from 1 species